UACGUAGGGUGCAAGCGUUAAUCGGAAUUACUGGGCGUAAAGCGUGCGCAGGCGGUUCUAUAAGACAGAUGUGAAAUCCCCGGGCUCAACCUGGGAACUGCAUUUGUGACUGUAGAGCUGGAGUACGGCAGAGGGGGAUGGAAUUCCGCGUGUAGCAGUGAAAUGCGUAGAUAUGCGGAGGAACACCGAUGGCGAAGGCAAUCCCCUGGACCUGUACUGACGCUCAUGCACGAAAGCGUGGGGAGCAAACAGG
rnacentral:rRNA from 1 species